rnacentral:rRNA from 1 species
UACGUAGGGUGCGGGCGUUGUCCGGAAUUAUUGGGCGUAAAGGGCUCGUAGGCGGUUUGUCGCGUCGGGAGUGAAAACCUUGGGCUUAACUCAGGGCUUGCUUUCGAUACGGGCAGACUAGAGGUAUGCAGGGGAGAACGGAAUUCCUGGUGUAGCGGUGAAAUGCGCAGAUAUCAGGAGGAACACCGGUGGCGAAGGCGGUUCUCUGGGCAUGAUCUGACGCUGAGGAGCGAAAGUGUGGGGAGCGAACAGG